rnacentral:rRNA from 1 species
UGUCGUCAGCUCGUGUUGUGAAAUGUUGGGUUAAGUCCCGCAACGAGCGCAACCCUUAUCCUUUGUUGCCAGCGGUCCGGCCGGGAACUCAAAGGAGACUGCCAGUGAUAAACUGGAGGAAGGUGGGGAUGACGUCAAGUCAUCAUGGCCCUUACGACCAGGGCUACACACGUGCUACAAUGGCGCAUACAAAGAGAAGCGACCUCGCGAGAGCAAGCGGACCUCAUAAAGUGCGUCGUAGUCCGGAUUGGAGUCUGCAACUCGACUCCAUGAAGUCGGAAUCGC